rnacentral:rRNA from 1 species
UACGUAGGGUGCAAGCGUUGUCCGGAAUUAUUGGGCGUAAAGAGCUCGUAGGUGGCCUGUCGCGUCGGCUGUGAAAACUCGGGGCUCAACUCCGAGCUUGCAGUCGAUACGGGCAGGCUAGAGUUCGGCAGGGGAGACUGGAAUUCCUGGUGUAGCGGUGAAAUGCGCAGAUAUCAGGAGGAACACCGGUGGCGAAGGCGGGUCUCUGGGCCGAUACUGACACUGAGGCACGAAGGCCAGGGAGCAAACGGG